rnacentral:hammerhead_ribozyme from 1 species
AUCCAACUGACGAGCUCCAGAUAGGACGAAACGUGAGUCCUGGAU